ACUUCCGGUUUCCUUUCCCUCAGCUAUUCCAUGGCUUUUCGUGUGGACAAAUCGGGAGGUGGUGUAAACUGGUUUUUGGUGAAAUUCGGCUCGGCCUCAUGCGAACCUAUCUAGGUCCGUCUCUGGAGUGGCCUGUCAUCGAUCGCGCCCUCCAUCGCUGAGCGACACAAGUGGAACCCCCCAGGACUGCAUUCUGCUUUUGGUCUGUGAACACAUUUGGGAAAUUCUUCUGAUCCUACCGCUACUCUCUUGAGAGAGAGAAACAAGGGAAAAAAAAGUUAAUUGCCUGAGGAUAUACUGCUAGUGUUGCGGGACAAAUAGAGACGGGAGAGGCCAAACAGAAUUCAGGACAACCCUUUAUUAUUAAGCGCGCUAGGGAGGGAAGCAGGAACUCGUGGUGCCUCAAGGAACGUGAAACGGUGGAACACAGAUAAGCCUCUCCGUGCGUAGAGGAGAAAUAAGCGGUUAAUAUUCUCUCUUAACCCAGGCCUCCGGAGGGUGGGGGGCUAUAUUUCAUUCUACCUCUAAGGAAAAGAAUAAACUUCUUGACUAAUAUACUUAUAAAAUUCAUUAAUUCCCCCUUCACUAGUAAAUAAUAAAUACCUGACUUAGGAUUCCAAAAUAGGUCUUGAAUUUUUCUGCAGGAGCUCCUCAAAGUCUCUGAAUUCCCACAACCUUUUAUUAGAUCACUUAUCCCAUUGUAUUAUAAUUAUCUGUUUAACAAUUUUUCCUCACCCCUAAAGGACCCUGAGCUUCUGGAAGGUAGGGACUGUAUCUUAAAAUCUUGGCAUUUCUGAUGUCUAGAAUAUUUCAUUUAAGAGAAGGGCUUAGUAACUGUUGUGUGGGUGGGUUGAUGAGUUAACUGUCAGGCAGGUGAACUAAUAGGCUGAAGAUAAAGUUUUUCACUGUUGGAAGUGAAUUUGGGAUUAGUCAUCCUAAUCCCCUCACUUUUAGAGAUGGGGCAACUGAGUCAUGCGCGGUGGCUCACGCCUGUAAUUCUAGCACUUUGGGAGGCCAAGGUGAGCGGAUCACCUGAAGUCAGGGAUUUGAGACCAGCCUGGCCAACAUGGCGAAACCCCAUCUCUACUAAAAAUACAAAAAUUAGCCAGGCAUGGUAGCAGGAGCCUGUAAUCCCAGCUGUUCGGGAGGCUGAGGCAGGAGAAUCACUUGAACCUGGGAGGCGGAGGUUGCAGUGAGUUGAGAUCGCGCAAUUGCGCUCCAGCCUGGGCGACAAGAGCAAAACUCCACCUCAAAGAAAAAACAAAACAAGACAUGGGGCAGCUGAGGCCUUUUGUAUACCAGGCAUUUAUCGAGUUAUUCAUGUGGGCCAGUUUCUGUGAUAAAUGAUUUGCAAAUAAUACCCAACUUAAUCUGUAUUGUUAUUUUUAUUUUUACAGAUGAAGAAACAGCUCAGAUUUGACCAAGAUCACACAAGUAGGAGUUGAGGAAUUGGAACCCACUAUGACUGACUCCAAAUUAAUAUAGUGUUUAUAGCCACUUA
rnacentral:lncRNA from 1 species